GCUCGGUGUCAUCACUGCGAGCCCUUUUCAGAGGCAAGACAACUGCUGCUGCUCUCCGACUCGACAAAUGCAGCACCAACAGGUUAGCAUCUAAGGUCUUCUGCACAUUAUCUGCUCAUGGAUGGAGAAACAAGUACAAGAGCCGUCCUUGGUUUUUCCAGCGAUCAGGCCCCCCACUUAGUGUAUUUGACAAGCUGAGUUAGACACUCUGUAUCGUUGAGUGUCAGUUUGUCAAAUACCCCAAGUGAGGUGUCACUUGUCAACAAACAGAGGUCACUGUACAGACAGAAAGGGUUCAACACGGCGUGGAAAAACUUCAAAGAAUUGCUUCUCUGAUAAAAUAUUUGAAGAUCACAAUGAGAAAGAUAAAAUAUACUGUUAUCACUCAGAGCCUAGAAGUAAAAACCUUAUCUUUUGCAAAUGUUGGGAUCAACAUAGUAAAUGAAUUUAGCAAACAUGCAACUUUUUGCAUGUAUUUAUUUUAAAGUUUUAACGUUCUAAUUUGUAAACACCCAGAAUAGCAGCCAGUUUUUUUUAUAUGUUGCAAGAGCUGAAAAAGACCAUACAAUGAAAAUGCACUGUACAUUGCUGUCAUGUGUGUCCAUGUGGAGUCUGACAAAAGUCUGUCUCUGCAACAGCAAAUGUAAUUGGAGUAAUGUUAUUCAAAGAAAGCUUUUAGCAAAUGGUGAUAUUUUUGUCUUUUGUUUAGUUUUUUAUUCAAAAACAUGGAACCAGGGUUGUCUUCUUCUCCAUGUAUGAAUAUGUGUUUGCAGCUCAAGCUACUUUCAGAGAGAAGAGAACCGCCCAGUGCCCCCCUGAGCCACAUGUUAUUUUGCUGAACUUUUUCAUUUCUAUGUGGCUGUAUAAAAAAUGUAGAUGCAUCAAAUUUCUCUAAUAAAUGUGAAUAUUCAGUGAAACAAUA